CCUACGGGUGGCUGCAGUGAGGAAUAUUGGUCAAUGGCCGGAAGGCUGAACCAGCCAAGCAGCGUGAAGGAUGACGGUGCCAAGCAUUGUAAACUUCUUUUGUAAGGGGAUAAAAUCAGGCACGAGAGCCUGACCGUGGGUACCUGAAGAAUAAGCAUCGGCUAACUCCGUGCCAGCAGCCGCGGUAAUACGAAGGGUGCGAGCGUUGUUCGGAUUUACUGGGCGUAAAGGGAGCGUAGGCGGAUAUGUAAGUUAGCGGUGAAAUGUCGCGGCUCAACCCCGGAACUGCCGUUGUGACUAGGAGUCUAGAGUAAUGUAGAGGAGGGCGGAAUACGUGGUGUAGCGGUGAAAUGCUUAGAUAUUGGGUAGAACACCGGUUGCGAAGGCAGCUAUCUGGCCAGCAACUGACGCUGAGGCUCGAAAGCGUGGGUAUCAAACAGGAUUAGAUACCCGAGUAGUC
rnacentral:rRNA from 1 species